rnacentral:rRNA from 1 species
GAUGAACGCUGGCGGCGUGCUUAACACAUGCAAGUCGAACGAGUUACAUUAGAGGAAGUUUUCGGAUGGAAUCUAAUGUAGCUAGUGGCGAACGGGUGAGUAACACGUGGGUAACCUGCCCAUAAGAGGGGGAUAACAUCCGGAAACGGGUGCUAAUACCGCAUAGGUUUCUUGGUCGCAUGAUCGAGAAAGGAAAGACGGCCUUUGUGCUGUCGCUUAUGGAUGGACCCGCGGCGUAUUAGUUAGUUGGUGAGGUAACGGCUCACCAAGACGAUGAUACGUAGCCGACCUGAGAGGGUGAUCGGCCACAUUGGGACUGAGACACGGCCCAAACUCCUACGGGAGCAGCAGUA